rnacentral:rRNA from 1 species
UGGGGAAUUUUGGGCAAUGGGCGAAAGCCUGACCCAGCAACGCCGCGUGAAGGAUGAAGUAUUUCGGUAUGUAAACUUCGUAAGAAUAGGAAGAAUAAAUGACGGUACUAUUUGUAAGGUCCGGCUAACUACGUGCCAGCAGCCGCGGUAAUACGUAGGGACCAAGCGUUGUUCGGAUUUACUGGGCGUAAAGGGCGCGUAGGCGGUUUGUCAAGUCAGUUGUGAAAUCUCCGAGCUUAACUCGGAACGGUCAACUGAUACUGUCAAACUAGAGUACAGAAGGGGCAAUCGGAAUUCUUGGUGUAGCGGUGAAAUGCGUAGAUAUCAAGAGGAACACCUGAGGCGAAGGCGGGUUGCUGGGCUGAUACUGACGCUGAGGCGCGAAAGCUAGGGUAGCAAACGGGAUUAGAUACCCAUGUAGUCCCUGAGCGGGCUGGCAAGGCGCAU